rnacentral:rRNA from 1 species
GAGUUUGAUCAUGGCUCAGAUUGAACGCUGGCGGCGUGCUUAACACAUGCAAGUCGUGCGAGAAAGGGGACUUCGGUCCCUGAGUAGAGCGGCGCACGGGUGAGUAACGCGUGGAUAAUCUACCCAGAUGUUCGGGAUAACGGCGGGAAACUGCCGCUAAUACCGGAUACGAUCCAAUUUCGGUUGGGUGAAAGGCGGCCUCUGUUUACAAGCUGUCGCAUCUGGAAGAGUCCGCGUCCCAUUAGCUUGUUGGUGGGGUAAUGGCCUACCAAGGCUACGAUGGGUAGCUGGUCUGAGAGGAUGAUCAGCCACACUGGAACUGAAACACGGUCCAGACUCCUACGGGAGGCAGCAGUGGGGAAUAUUGCGCAAUGGGGGAAACCCUGACGCAGCGACGCCGUGUGAGGGAAGAAGGCUUUCGGGUCGUAAACCUCUGUCGGGAGGGAAGAACCUUCCAGGCCUGAAUAAGUCCUGGAACUGACGGUACCUCCAAAGGAAGCACCGGCUAACUCCGUGCCAGCAGCCGCGGUAAUACGGAGGGUGCAAGCGUUAAUCGGAAUCACUGGGCGUAAAGCGCGCGUAGGCGGUCU